CCUCCUCUUUUUCAUUCUUUUCUUCCUCUUUAUUCUUAUCUUCUUCUUCUCUUUCCUCUUUCUAUCUCUUCUUGCUUGUGGUAGAAAAGCACCCCAGCCUGUGCAGGCUAGCUCACAGCAUCCCAGCAUGUGCAGGUGAGCUCAUAGCAUCCCAGCAUGUGCAGGCUAGCUCAUAGCACCCCAGCCUGUGCAGGCUAGCUCACAGCAUUCCAGCCUGUGCAGGCUAGCUCAUAGCAUCCCAGCAUGUGCAGGCUGGCUCACAGCACCCCAGCCUGUGCAGGCUAGCUCACAGCAUCCCAGCCUGUGCAGGCUAGCUCACAGCAUCCCAGCUUAUACAGGCUACCUCACACAGCACCCUAGCCUGUGCAGGCUAGCUCAUAGCAUCCCAGCAUGUGCAGGCUAGCUCACACAGCACCCCAACCUGUGCAGGUGAGCUCACAGCAUCCCAGCCUGUGCAGGAUAGCUCACAGCAUCCUAGCCUGUGCAGGUGAGCUCACAGCAUCCCAGCCUGUACAGGCUAACUCACACAGCACCUGAGCCUGUGCAGGUGAGCUCACAGCAUCCCAGCCUGUACAGGCUAAUUCACACAGCACCCCAGCCUGUGCAGGUGAGCUCACAGCAUUCCAGCCUGUACAGGCUAGCUCACACAGCACCCCAGCCUGUGCAGGUGAGCUCACAGCAUCCCAGCCUGUACAGGCUAGCUCACACAGCACCCCAGCCUGUGCAGGUGAGCUCACAGCAUCCCAGCCUGUGCAGGCUAACUCACACAGCACCCCAGCCUGUGCAGGUGAGCUCAUAGCAUCCCAGCAUGUGCAGGUGAGCUCAUAGCAUCCCAGCAUGUGCAGGCUAGCUCACAGCACCCCAGCCUGUGCAGGUGAGCUCACAGCAUCCUAGCCUGUGCAGGUGAGCUCUAUGCUGUUGGUUUAAACACAGCCUCAGAUGAUUAUCCUGACCAUGUCACUUACAAGCUCUGUGACCUUGGACAAUUUUUUUCAUCUUCUUAAGCCAUAUUCAAUUUGUUAAAAAAAAA